CUGUUCUCUCUCUUCCAAGCUCCCAUCUCCACCUCUCAUUGACUGGACAUGGCCGGAAGCAAGCCGGUCACACUGCACAGAUUCCUCUGCUGGGAAGGAGGCUCCCUCAGCUGUGUCUGACUCUAAGGUGAUUGUUAGACUAAACUUAUCCACCUCACUGUCUGCAGAGCGUCAUCGACUCUCCAUCACUUUUCCAAAGACAAUGGGUAAUACAGUGUGGUGGACACACCCUCAGGUGACCCCUUGUAUAAUUCUCUCCCCUUGGGUGUGGGUGGAGCGUGUGACUUCCUUCUAGUCCAGAGAGUAGGGCAGAGGGGAGGGGCUGCCACUCCUAUGAUUACCUUACAUUAUAUAAGAUGCUACCUUAGCAGACUAGAGUGAGAGAUUCUUCUGCUGGCCUUGAAGAAGCAAAUAGCCAUGAUUUGAAAUGUCUGUAGAGAGUCACAUGGCAGGGAACUGCAGGGCGCCACUGGGGCCUGCGCAACCUUCUCUCUACCCCAGUAGCAGCCGGGGCCCUUGGUCAUACAGCUGCAAGAAAAUGAAUCUGCCAACAACCUGAACGCGCUCGGACAUGAAUUCUCCCCGCCAUCUCUUCAGAUGAGAAGACAGCCUGCCUGCCACUAAACCGUAGUCUUAUGAGGCCCUGAGUAUUGGUCCCAGUGAAGCUACCCCUGAAUUCCUCAACCAUGAAAACUGAAGUAAUCAAUGUGUUGUUUUAAGUCACUAAAUUUGUGGUCCUUUGUGACACUGCAAUAGAAAAUAAAUAAAGUGGGAAGGAAGGCUCUCUACUUCUCUCUUUCCAAACUGCAGAGCUUCAGUUUUAAAGGUGGGAUAAUAAAUAAGUCAC
rnacentral:lncRNA from 1 species